UACGUAGGGCGCAAGCGUUGUCCGGAAUUAUUGGGCGUAAAGAGCUCGUAGGCGGCUUGUCACGUCGGUUGUGAAAGCCCGGGGCUUAACCCCGGGUCUGCAGUCGAUACGGGCAGGCUAGAGUGUGGUAGGGGAGAUCGGAAUUCCUGGUGUAGCGGUGAAAUGCGCAGAUAUCAGGAGGAACACCAAUGGCGAAGGCAGCACUCUGGGACGUGACUGACGCUGAGACGCGAAAGCGUGGGGAGCGAACAGG
rnacentral:rRNA from 1 species